rnacentral:rRNA from 1 species
UACGAAGGGGGCUAGCGUUGCUCGGAAUCACUGGGCGUAAAGGGUGCGUAGGCGGGUCUUUUAAGUCAGGGGUGAAAUCCUGGAGCUCAACUCCAGAACUGCCUUUGAUACUGAGGAUCUUGAGUUCGGGAGAGGUGAGUGGAACUGCGAGUGUAGAGGUGAAAUUCGUAGAUAUUCGCAAGAACACCAGUGGCGAAGGCGGCUCACUGGCCCGAUACUGACGCUGAGGCACGAAAGCGUGGGGGAGCAAACGGG